UACGUAGGGGGCGAGCGUUGUCCGGAUUUAUUGGGCGUAAAGAGCGUGUAGGCGGCCAGGUAGGUCCGUUGUGAAAACUCGAGGCUCAACCUCGAGACGUCGGCGGAAACCCUCUGGCUAGAGUCCGGAAGAGGAGAGUGGAAUUCCUGGUGUAGCGGUGAAAUGCGCAGAUAUCAGGAGGAACACCGAUGGCGAAGGCAGGUCUCUGGGCUGACACUGACGCUCAUGCACGAAAGCGUGGGGAGCAAACAGG
rnacentral:rRNA from 1 species